ACGCUAGCUAUAGGCUUAACACAUGCAAGUCGAGGGGGAACGGCAUUAUGUGCUUGCACAUUUUGGACGUCGACCGGCGCACGGGUGAGUAUCGCGUAUCCAACCUGCCCUUUACUUGGGGAUACCCCGUUGAAAGACGGCCUAAUACCCGAUGUAAUUCAUUGAUGGCAUCAGAUAUGAAUAAAAGAUUUAUCGGUAAAGGAUGGGGAUGCGUCUGAUUAGCUUGUUGGUGAGGUAAAGGCUCACCAAGGCAACGAUCAGUAGGGGUUCUGAGAGGAAGGUCCCCCACAUUGGAACUGAGACACGGUCCAAACUCCUACGGGAGGCAGCAGUGAGGAAUAUUGGUCAAUGGGCGCAAGCCUGAACCAGCCAAGUAGCGUGCAGGAAGACGGCCCUAUGGGUUGUAAACUGCUUUUAUACGAGAAUAAUUUGAUGCACGUGUGCGUUAUUGCAUGUAUCGUAUGAAUAAGGACCGGCUAAUUCCGUGCCAGCAGCCGCGGUAAUACGGAAGGUCCAGGCGUUAUCCGGAUUUAUUGGGUUUAAAGGGAGUGUAGGCGGUUUGUUAAGCGUGUUGUGAAAUUUAGGUGCUCAACAUUUAACUUGCAGCGCGAACUGUCAGACUUGAGUACACGCAACGUAUGCGGAAUUCAUGGUGUAGCGGUGAAAUGCUUAGAUAUCAUGAAGAACUCCGAUUGCGAAGGCAGCAUACGGGAGUGUAACUGACGCUUAAGCUCGAAGGUGCGGGUAUCGAACAGGAUUAGAUACCCUGGUAGUCCGCACAGUAAACGAUGGAUGCCCGCUGUUAGCGCCUGGCGUUAGCGGCUAAGCGAAAGCAUUAAGCAUCCCACCUGGGGAGUACGCCGGCAACGGUGAAACUCAAAGGAAUUGACGGGGGCCCGCACAAGCG
rnacentral:rRNA from 1 species